UCCAUUUUAACUCCAAUAAUUUAACCAAAAGUCCAGUCAGAAAAUUAAUUUCUAUGUAUGUAUUUACCUGCCUAACAGUAACCACUAUAUUUAUUUAGAUAUAAAGAUAUAAUACAAUCAUAGGGGAAUAGCCUAUCGCUAUCCACCUUAUAAGUCGCAGAAAAGAAAUACUCAAAAGAGAGCAGCUUUUCAAUCUCAAACAUAAAUUUCCCUAAAGGCAACCAUGGCAGAGGUGCAUACGGAAGCAACAACAAAAAAUUCCUAUCUCACAACAAAGACAAAGAUAAAUAUCUUUAUAAAAAGCUUACAACUACGCUCUUUCCAGAUCCCCUAAGAAACGAAAAAGACCACGCACUUACAAAGCAUCUUAGCAUCUUUACUCCCUCCAAACCCUUUAAACCGGAUAAGCAAUAAAUCAUCCACUGUGCGUGACACACCCACUCCUCCCCCAACACUCUAAAAACAAAAUUCCAUAAACCCAAGCAACAUGACAAUGCAAAAAUAAAUGAGAAUGUGACUCAACGUUCUACAUGCACAUAACAUAGAUGUCUAGAGAUAAAGCCUUGUGGGCUUUGCGCACUUUAGAUCAUUAGUAUUCAGUCUUUUUAAAGUCAUACACCAAAUAAAUGCCUAAAUAUUGGGAGGAACCUAUGCCUUCCAAAUUCUAGAAGCCAAAGAAAA
rnacentral:lncRNA from 1 species